rnacentral:rRNA from 1 species
CGGGAGGCAGCAGUAGGGAAUCUCCGCAAUGGACGAAAGUCUGACGGAGCAACGCCGCGUGAGUGAUGAAGGUUUUCGGAUCGUAAAGCUCUGUUGUUAGGGAAGAACAAGUACCGUUCGAAUAGGGCGGUACCUUGACGGUACCUAACCAGAAAGCCACGGCUAACUACGUGCCAGCAGCCGCGGUAAUACGUAGGUGGCAAGCGUUGUCCGGAAUUAUUGGGCGUAAAGGGCUCGCAGGCGGUUUCUUAAGUCUGAUGUGAAAGCCCCCGGCUCAACCGGGGAGGGUCAUUGGAAACUGGGGAACUUGAGUGCAGAAGAGGAGAGUGGAAUUCCACGUGUAGCGGUGAAAUGCGUAGAGAUGUGGAGGAACACCAGUGGCGAAGGCGACUCUCUGGUCUGUAACUGACGCUGAGGAGCGAAAGCGUGGGGAGCGAACAGGAUUAGAUACCCUGGUAGUCCACGCCGUAAACGAUGAGUGCUAAGUGUUAGGGGGUUUCCGCCCCUUAGUGCUGCAGCUAACGCAUUAAGCACUCCGCCUGGGGAGUACGGUCGCAAGACUGAAACUCAAAGGAAUUGACGGGGGCCCGCACAAGCGGUGGAGCAUGUGGUUUAAUUCGAAGCAACGCGAAGAACCUUACCAGGUCUUGACAUCCUCUGACAAUCCUAGAGAUAGGACGUCCCCUUCGGGGGCAGAGUGACAGGUGGUGCAUGGUUGUCGUCAGCUCGUGUCGUGAGAUGUUGGGUUAAGUCCCGCAACGAGCGCAACCCUUGAUCUUAGUUGCCAGCAUUCAGUUGGGCACUCUAAGGUGACUGCCGGUGACAAACCGGAGGAAGGUGGGGAUGACGUCAAAUCAUCAUGCCCCUUAUGACCUGGGCUACACACGUGCUACAAUGGACAGAACAAAGGGCAGCGAAACCGCGAGGUUAAGCCAAUCCCACAAAUCUGUUCUCAGUUCGGAUCGCAGUCUGCAACUCGACUGCGUGAAGCUGGAAUCGCUAGUAAUCGCGU